UACGUAGGGUGCAAGCGUUGUCCGGAAUUAUUGGGCGUAAAGAGCUCGUAGGCGGUUUGUCGCGUCUGGUGUGAAAAUCCAGGGCUUAACCCUGAGCCUGCUUCCGAUACGGGCAGACUAGAGGUAUGCAGGGGAGAACGGAAUUCCUGGUGUAGCGGUGGAAUGCGCAGAUAUCAGGAGGAACACCGGUGGCGAAGGCGGUUCUCUGGGCAUUACCUGACGCUGAGGAGCGAAAGUGUGGGGAGCGAACAGG
rnacentral:rRNA from 1 species